UGGUAGUACAUGGGAGGACUGCUGCAAAGAGUAACAGGAGGAAUGAGUGAUUGGAAUCCACUCCAGACAUGCAUCUGUUCAAAUAGGUAAAUUAAUGAGGGUACAUUAACUCUGGUCAGAUAUCAAAUUUCUUUUGAUAUGAGAGGCACAAAAGGGCUGUGUGACUGAUGGUAAUGAAGUAAUCACUCAGACAAGACAUCCAGGAAUAGCUGCACUCCUCAAGCUCCCACCUUUGUGUUAGAAUUUGAUAUUCUCCCAAUGACUAGUCGACAACAACAGGAUGAUUGCCUCUACAAUACAGAGAACGGGCAGCGAAAAGCACAAAGAUGUUCAGCCCAACAGGCAGAAAUUCAAGCACUUUUUCCCUCACAGGCCUCGACAUGUGGGACAACGAAUCUUACUUCAGAGCCCAGGCCUCAGCAUGGUGUGGUAUGUCGACGAGCUCUGAUUCAGGGUUUUUACCAAUAGUCAGUGGAAGACAAAGAGAUCCAAGACUACGUAAGUGGCAGUCAUCCCAUCUGUUGUCUGAGCUGGGUCCAGGUUUGUUUUCUCCACCGAGAGCUGAUCUUAUGGAUGUCAGUGCCAAAAGUAGCUCGAGACAAGCAGGAGUGAGGCAAUGGCUGCAGGAUGCUCACAAACACCUGGACUCUCAUCUGGAUCAGCUGAAAAUUAAAGACCAGAAGCUGAACUGCAACUUACGGCAUGCAGAGCUGCUUGACACAAGCCACAGAAGGGGUGAUCCAGUGCUGAGUGAGUUGAGGCAGAGACUGAAACAGGCUGAGGAGAAGGCAAUGACACUUGAAGAAGAGCGAAACAAUGCACAACAGCUUCUCAAGAACUCAACUGAGAAUCAGAAGGCACUGAAAACUCAAAUCGAGGAAAUGAAUCGAAGAGUGAGCUACGCUAUGCAGCACCGCUCUGAUAUACAAGAACAGCUAAGAGAAGCCAACAACAAGAUCAGCCAAGCGUGUCUGGAUAAAGCCAAACUGAUGACUCAAGUGUUGAAGCUGGAGAAUCAUGUAAAAGAAUUAGAGCUCAAAUUAACAGAGGCCCUGUUAGACAACAAACAUCUGAUCAAGGAGAAAGAAGAUUUUUCCCUGAGGGUUCAAGCUCUGGAGAGGCAGCAGGUGGAGGACCAUGAUGCAACAAUACCUUCUUCUCCAAUGGCUCUCACUGAGAUGAAUGAAAAGCUCAACAAAGAGCUGCAAAUCAAUAAACACUCUCUGCAAGAAUCACAAAAUCAGCUUCAAGCUCUAGAAAAGGAGAACAUCAAUCACAUCAAACAAAAAGCAGCUCUGGAAAUGGAGCGCUUUCAGCUGAUCAGAGAAAACAAGGAGCUGCUGCUAAGAAAUGACCAAUAUAAACCCUCUGAGUUAUCAGAGAUAAAUAAAAAGUCCCAACAGAAUAGGGAAGAGCUGGAGUUAGAAAAGCAGAGACUUUGGGAUCAGUGCUUAUGUUUGCAGGCUGAUGUCCAGGAAAAGGAAAAGAUGCUUCAUAUACAGAAGGAGAGGCAUCACAAACAGGACUUGGAGAGCGCCCAGGCCAUAGAGGAGCUAAGAGCCAUGACCUUAUACUGGAAUAAGAAGUGGCAAAAGGUGGCUCAGUCUCUGCAGUCUACACAGGAGGAGUUAUACAAAAUCAGAAGAACCUCAAAGCAUGAAUUGCCUGCAAGAGUACCAGAAGAUUGUCAUGACGAUGGAAAUCUAGAAGAAGAUGCACCAGUCGAUGGGCUUCUGAGGAACCAACAAGAUGAUAACCAAAGGAAGAUGGAUCAGCUGGAGAUACAGAAAACUUUGGUGGCCCAGGACCUUCAAACCCUAAAAAAGGUUAAAGAUGAGAAACCAUCUGUUGAAGACAAGAGGCGUGGGGCUGUCUGUUUAGUGACCAAUCAACAAAGGAGAAUGGUCAAUGAGCAGUUGAAAAGCUUGUUUAAGGAGCAAGAAAAACAGGCAGAAAAGGUCAACACCCUACCAGCAGCUGCUCCAGCUGAAUCCUCCUCAUCUCAAGAGAGGAGUCACAUCUCCAAAAGUGUCCGGGCUGCAACAGACAGGAGAAAUUGGCAGUCUGUCUCUGGUUUGAUGCCAGUGUUGGAGGAGGAUGAAGAGAGCUGCGACCCACCAGAGGAGCUUGAAGGAGAGCCAAUGAAAAAGACUGAUGAAACCCUCUUGGACCAGAGACAACAGAAAUCUUCAGCUCCUGGCAUGGCAGUCUGGGAUCUUUCCUCACCAGAAUCUUUAACAUAUUUGGAUGAUUCCAAGAAAAAGUGGACUUGGAGUCCUCCCCCUUAUCCUGAUGGAAUAUUUGGAGCUAAAAUUGUGGAUAUCUGCAGUCCUGAUGAAUGCGAUGAAGAAGGGGAUGUUAUGUGAAGCCUCUGAGGAAAUUGUAUUAAAGACUACAGUUAAUAGGUCAGACUACUUAAUGGUAAAAACAGUUGUUGAAAGCAGAGAGGUAAUAGAACAGACCAGUUUACACUAGCACUGCAGUUUAUUAUGGAUUUUGUCUAUCUUAUUAAAUUGUGCUCAUCUUUCUGCUUUUACUUGGCUGGUUUUGGCUCUGAUGCUCCUCAAACUGUUGGUGUCACGCAGGCAUAAUGCAUGGUAAUGAGUGCAUUGUUUCAGGUUUUUAAUGCCUGUGCGUGACAGGACUACAGUAGCUCUGGGUGAACAAUGUGCCAGCGUGCCUGCUCCACCAGCAGGGAGCACAUAUCCCUCCAGUGAGCACGUCCUGCAUCUGCAGCGUCAGCACCAAUGAGGACUCGACCAAUGACUUGACCCUCUGAGAGGCCCACCGUCUGUUACACAAGAAGAAAGAAAUACUGACCAAUGAAAAAUAAUUAGUGUGUGUAUAGUAGCAUAGAAAGCGGUUGCUGUGAUUUCAAGUCUGUACCUGUACGACUUCAAACUCCAGCGUGAGAGUGAGUUGACUGAUGUCUCCUACUGGUAGGUCAAACAGGAACGAUGUAUUCCACACUGUGUACGACUCUCUCUGAGUUUCUCUGCUGCUAAUCAAAACCCUGCCAUGAUGAAGGUUGACCACCACCUGGUAAUCUGUGCACAGGAUGCACAUAUUCAGGAAGAGAUUAGACCUUUAAUCACAUCUCCAACGUGACCUUUUCCCUUUCUUGAGACACUAUGUAUUUGCCAUCUGGCUCAGUCUAAAGAUGGUAUGGGUGAUUGUUCUGGGUAAAUGAAAAUGAAGAGAAAAUACACUGGUCUAUAGUCUUGUAAACAAUGGCUCUUCAAAAACAAAUUGUGGUGACUGAUCAUUUUAAUCUGGAAAAAUGUGAUUUUACAAUGUCAAGUGGACUACAAAUUAAAUGUAUUACAAUAAUAUGAUUACUAUAAAUCAAGCUGCAGAACCAAGAAUGCUAAAAUCUUUCUGGUUUUACUGCUGAAGCUGUCAUCCAAUGACAUGGAUGUGGAAAGUGAGGUCCCAAAACAGGAAGUCAAGGAGGAACUAGGUAAGAAAAAACAUGGUUAAAGGUGAUUAGGGACAAAAAGGUGAAGUUUGAUGCCAAUAAAUUAGGAGGAAGUGGAUUAUUUU
rnacentral:lncRNA from 1 species